ACGGCCAUACCACAUUGAAAACACCGGUUCUCGUCCGAUCACCGAAGUUAAGCAAUGUCAGGCCUGGUCAGUACUUGGGAGGGUGACCACCUAGGAACACCGGGUGUUGUACCA
rnacentral:rRNA from 1 species